GACCUGGUGGUGCAUGGUUCGCCCACUUUCCUUAUACGAGAGAAUUUGAGCCUCGCGUUUAUGUGGGAGUUCUCGGUUCGACUCCGGGCCAGGUCA